UUUUUUUCUCCAUGUGAACGUUGGUGGGAGCUUCAGACGGAAUGAAGACGUCUGAUCUGCGGAAGGUGAAUGGGGCCUGAGUGAUAGACCCAGAACCUUUCAUCUCACCCAGUAAUAGGAAAUGGCACCGACCCCUCCUGAUCCCCCCGAUUACCUUUGUGAAGCGUGAAUGUGGUAUGGAAUCACACAUCAGGAGACGAGUUGUAAUUAUUUUUGCGAUGCCAUCAGCAUGGAUCAAUCACUCAGGGAGGCUGCUUGUGGAACGCCGCUCGCAGCCAUGGAUGGAGCCAGCAGCGACCCUCUUUGACUGACAGCUUUGGUAAUUAAGUGAUUGUAUAGACCCCUCCGACUGUUAUAACAACCUUGUCAGGGCCAGUCUGCGUUUGGAACACACUCAAAUCAAUGUGUUCUCCAUUCCCUGAGCGUUUCUGAUCAUGUAUCUAAGAGAGAAAGAGGAGAAAA